rnacentral:rRNA from 1 species
UAUAGCCUGAGAUCCGAUGCGUAUCCCUCACGGGAGAAAUCAGUGAUCCUAUGCUGCCAAGAAAAGCAUCGACGCGAGGUUCAAGCCGCCCGUACCCCAAACCGACUCAGGUGGUCAGGUAGAGAAUACCAAGGAGAUCGAGAGAAUCGUGGUUAAGGAACUCGGCAAAAUGCCCCCGUAACUUCGGGAGAAGGGGGGCCGAAUCGGUGAAUGGACUUGCUCCAGGAAGCCGAGGAGGCCGCAGAGACCAGUGGGAAGCGACUGUUUACUAAAAACACAGGUCCGUGCGAAGACGCAAGUCGAUGUAUACGGACUGACGCCUGCCCGGUGCUGGAAGGUUAAGAGGAAGGGUUAGCUUCGGCAAAGCUCUGAAUUUAAGCCCCAGUAAACGGCGGUGGUAACUAUAACCAUCCUAAGGUAGCGAAAUUCCUUGUCGGGUAAGUUCCGACCUGCACGAAUGGCGUAACGACUUCCCAGCUGUCUCAACCGCGAACUCGGCGAAAUUGCACUACGAGUAAAGAUGCUCGUUACGCGCAGCAGGACGGAAAGACCCCGUGACCUUUACUACAGCUUGGUAUUGGUGUUCGGUGUGGCUUGUGUAGGAUAGGUGGGAGACUUUGAAGCUGGCACGCUAGUGUCGGUGGAGUCAUUGUUGAAAUACCACUCUGGUCACUCUGGAUGUCUAACUACGAACCGUAAUCCGGUUCUGGGACAGUGCCUGGUGGGUAGUUUAACUGGGGCGGUUGCCUCCCAAAAAGUAACGGAGGCGCCCAAAGGUUCCCUCAACCUGGUUGGCAAUCAGGUGUCGAGUGUAAGUGCACAAGGGAGCUUGACUGUGAGAGUGACGGCUCGAGCAGGGACGAAAGUCGGGACUAGUGAUCCGGCAGUGGCUUGUGGAAGCGCUGUCGCUCAGCGGAUAAAAGGUACCUCGGGGAUAACAGGCUGAUCUUGCCCAAGAGUCCAUAUCGACGGCAUGGUUUGGCACCUCGAUGUCGGCUCGUCGCAUCCUGGGGCUGGAGUAGGUCCCAAGGGUUGGGCUGUUCGCCCAUUAAAGCGGUACGCGAGCUGGGUUUAGAACGUCGUGAGACAGUUCGGUCCCUAUCCGCUGCGCGCGUAGGAAAUUUGAGAAGAUCUAUCCCUAGUACGAGAGGACCGGGAUGGACGAACCUCUGGUGUGUCAGUUGUUCCGCCAGGAGCACCGCUGAUUAGCUACGUUCGGAAUGGAUAACCGCUGAAAGCAUCUAAGCGGGAAGCCAGCUUCAAGAUGAGAUUUCCAUCCCUUCGGGGGAGAGGCUCCCAGCUAGACGACUGGGUUGAUAGGCCGGAUGUGGAAGUGGGGACUAAAGACCCAUGGAGCUGACCGGUACUAAUAAGCCGAUAACUUGAUC